rnacentral:lncRNA from 1 species
GAAGAAUUAGAAAUAUUAGAAUAUAAAAUACUUUUAUCUAUGAACUUUAAAAUCUUAGAAGCAAACUGAACUAUCUUGGUGUUCAGCCUGCAGAACAGAUAGCUGUGUAAAAGAGCUAGCCACGACAUUAGACUGGAUUAACAUUUUUUUUUAACCUCAAAACCUAUAUAGUCUCAGGAAACACCAGUAUGCUCAGAGGAAGCAGUUCUCACACAGCUACGACAGGGAGAGAAGGAUGUGUACAUGUAUAGAAAUCCUAUGCUGAGUUGAGGGAGGAAUUAGGUGAAGAAAUGGCAGCCAGCGUCUUUGGUCCAAGCCCAGAGCCAUCGUCUCCUCAUCUAGGAACAGGAAAAGCCAUCUCAAAGGGUCCCACUGCUACUUUUGAAUUCAAGGACAUGCACUGCUCUGUUAGUGGAGGUCUGGAAUCACCCGGGCCCAGUUUUCUAGCUUCACAGUCUCCAGCUAAAUAACUCACCAGCUAUCCAAUCAACCAACUAACCAAUCUUCCAGUUACCCUGAGUAUUUAAGGGCUCCAGCCCCUGUUUCUACAGAGAGUAAGCAGGAGAAUCAAACUGAUAUGUGCUGAGCACUUUACCUAGAAGACCUAAUCCUCCUAACAGGCCUAUGAGGUAAGUAGAGUGAUCUUUUCUCAAUUAGCAAACAGCAGCUACAUUUAACUGAAGGCUGACUGGCACGUUCAGGGUCACAUGCCAGGUUUAUGGGGGACUCAGGACUAUCCAAAUCCUGAAGGCCAUGCUUUUCUUUGUAAUGUUUCAGUAAAUGUUCCAAGUCAGAUUUGCAUUUACUUAGGCUUUUAAGACUGACUAUAACACAUAUAACUUGAUGAUCAUGAGUUAUUUUCUUUGAAAACCAGAGUAGGCUGGGCACGGUGGCUCACGCCUGUAAUCUCAGCACUUUGG